rfam:Rattus norvegicus chromosome 15, whole genome shotgun sequence.
GGGGAUAUAGCUCAGUGGUAGAGCGCUUGCCUAGCAAGCGCAAGGCCCUGGGUUCGGUCCCCAGCUCCA